CUCUUAAGUAAUCAAAAAAUGUCUAAGAGUCUUACUUUCAUCAUUUUGGCUUUGCUUGUAGUGGCAAACACUAAAAACAUGCUUAUUUCAGCCAGUAGUACUGGCCAAGAAUCUAACUCAGAUGCUUCAUUUUCUAUUAAUCCCUCAGCAUCACCUGACAUUGUUGAUUGCUCAGGGCUCAGAAGUGAAGAGUGUUUGAUCGAGAGGUUUAAGAAAAUUCUUGAAGACUAUCACUACCCUUGCCCUGAGGGGGGAUGCCACUGAUUUUGCUAAACAAUUAUUUCUUUUAUCUUGUAAGAGUGCUUUAUGCAAUACCGAUCAAUUGUAGUGAAAUCGAGACUGUGUUUUAAUAAAAGAAGAAAUUAAUCCAUUUUGUGCAUAUAAUGUCAUGUCAUAUGUUUUUUGUGGUUGUAUAUUCUGCUGAUUUGUUGCAUACAUAUCGAUGAAUCAAUUUUUGAGGAAGCAGUUUGUUUAAAUAAUAAUAAUAGUAAUAAUAACUGCAUUUUUAAUGUUUGUAUCUUCUGCUCAUUUGUUGCAUACAUAUCGAUGAAUCAAUUUUUGAGGAAGCAGUUUGUUUAAAUAAAAAUAAUAGUAAUAAUAACUACAUUUUUAAUGUUUGUAUCAUUUAAAUUUUAAGCCUAUCUACUCUUAGGGGUGGUUAUUGCAUCCUAAGAAAACAAAUAAAAUAAACCCUCAUUUUAUCGAAAUCUUAUAUUACUUAACUGUUUGAUUUAAUUUAAAGUUAAACAUUGCUAUACCGCCUAAGAAUCGUCAAUUCACCUUCAUUUAUUGCUAAGAAUACAAUUAAAAGGUUCAUCAAUUUACCCCUGUUUAUGCUUAUCUUCUGAACAAAAUUAGGAUGGAUUGAGAAUUUCAUGUUUUUGGAGGGUAAAUUGAAGAUUGUUAUUGGGAGGGGAUGAAUUGAAGUUAACCCAAAUUAGUAUAUGAAAUUUUUUUAUAUAUUUGUGACAUUUAUUUGCCUCAUCUACUAAACAUACAACCAUCUUUUUGUGAUUAGAUGAAUAUUAUGAUGACACUCUGAGAGACCUAUUUGGUAAUUGCAUCCAAAAUGAAAAAAAAAUCAUUUAAAUAAAGAGAUGAACAAUUUGUUGGCAAGUUACAAUUGCUAGGCAGCGAAGUGCAAGCCAUCGUGUCACAAUAAUUUUCGUGAACCCCUGAAAAUAAAAAAUAUUGGUUCUUUAAUUUCUUUUGUUUUAUUUAAAAUUAAGUUUUUGGAAAUUACAAAAUAGUUUAAAUAUUUUUUUUAAAAUGCAAAGACGUAUUCUUGUAUUUUAUUUGAGAUAGCUAGUUUGACUUUAAUUUAAUAUAUGUUUUCACAAUUGAAACUUAGAUACUUCUUUACUUUUGUUAUUUAGCUAAAUAAUAUAAUAUUUAUAUUUAAUUGAUGAGGCUAUGCUACGGAGACUAUUUGACUUUGUAAUGUCAAAAAGGACAGAUGCGAAUAUAACACGAGUGCUCUUGAGAAAAUGGCAAAUCUAUUUUAAGGACAUUGUAACUGCACAUGCCUCAAUUUAAUUUUUUUUUCUUAUCUUUCUUAUUAAUGCAUAGUAAAGAAAUUAUCGUUGCAUCACCCCUGUUUUGUUAUAUGUACAUCCAAUCACCAUAAAAUUUUAACAUGUUCUUUGCACUACUUUUUUUUUCUAAACUUGUAUUAUUCAACUACAUUGACGCUAAGAAUUUAAAUAAAAUGGCCAUUUUACCCCUAAAUGACCUAAAAGACCAUUUUAUCCCAAAAAUUUUUAAAUAAAAAAUUAUAAUUACCAUUUAAUUAAUUGAUGAAAUGUUAUUGAAAAAAUUCUAUGUGUGAGUACUAUUUAAUUAAUUCAUAAAGAAAUAUUAUUGAUUUGUUUCAAUUCUUUUGACCUAAGAGACGUGUUAAUACUCAUCUCAAAUAUUUUCCUUUUUUCAUCAAUCCUACAAUCACAAUUAUUGAAGAAUUUUCACUUUUUAAAUUAAUCACCCAAAUAAUACUAAUCUAAACCAAUUUUGAAUGAUAAAAACUUGUGAAUUACAAAAAAUAUCGCGUAAAAAUUAUAAUUAAAAAAAUUAACAACUUAGAUUUUGAGAUUUAUUUUUUCUAUUAAAAUGAGAGGUAUUCUUGUACCAUUUUAUUUAACUUAUUGGUGUUCAAGUGGCUGAUUGAUAGAAGUUUAAUAACCAAGUGGUCAAAGAACAUGUCAAAAAUAUGUUGUAUUUAGAUAUACAUGUGACAAAACAGAGGUGGUAUAUAGAUAAUUUCCCAACAUACCAUUGUAAUAUAAUAACGUUAUUUCAAAAUUUUGUUACUAAAAACUAAUGACAAGAGGGUAGCUAGCUUACUAGCAAACUUAAGCACUCUAGAAAGAUUCUAUAACAAAAGUACUGCCUGAUACAUCUAGCUUUUAAGUAUGGCCAUUUGUGACCCUUCUAAUCUUUUCGAAGAACUCAACUAGUAGAUAUUUUUUCAUACAUUAUGGAUUGUUUUAUGUCACUUACGAAUAAUAAUUCUUUAGUAUAUACUUCAAAACCUUACCAAUAUAUAGCUGAAAGUCCUAAGGACUUUGGAAUCAAAUAUCUUACAACAAUCAGUGCAAGGUGAUAAUGAUAUGGAAAGUGUAUAUAAAUAAAGACAAGUCAGCUGAAAUGAAGGUGUCUUCACCUUAAUUCGGUCUUUACUUUUUAGGCGCUACAGGGGUGGCCACUGGCCUCGUUGCUUUUAUGUACCUAAACUUCAUAUGGAUUUUUACUUUUUUUUUCCUUUUUGGAGCACCAGUAGAUUGUCGAUUAAUGCCAAAUGCAUAGGAAUGUGUUUAGAUACCUGCAUUAUGGAAAAAUAAUGAAGUUUAAAAUAAUACAUCAGAUUGCUAAAGUAUUAACAUUAUAUUGAAAUCAAAUAUUUGUCUAUCAACAAGCACAUAUUAUAUAAAAAUGAUAAAACGCUCAAACUAACAUAAAAAUGAAGUAAGCCACUGUCAUUCUAAGUAAACAAACAUAACAAACCCACCUACUUAGGAAUAAUGUUUCAAUCUGGGAAUCUUGAACUUUUCAUAAAAAAACAAAAAAUCAGUUUACAAUAUUAUAAGUAAGUGAAAAAGAAAGUUUAUAACAUUGUAAAUCAGAUCACGAACAAGAAUAUGACUCCACCUACAUCGUUUAGUGAACACCUGUAAUAUUGCAUCCAACAAUGGCAACGCCAGAUUUAAAAUCUGCCCGAUGCGUCUGAGCAAUUGCAUAUUUGCCAGCCAACAGGAACACGCCAGUGUCGACGACAAUGGGCAUCUUAGGGACAGGAACAAUCGACCUGUUGUUGGCAAGGAGGUUGAUACAACUGCCAUUAUUUGGACCAUCAAUGAACACAAUGCUCAUGGACAUGAUGAUACCUAGUUGGUGCUGACAAGCUGACCCGUAAAGCCUUUGAGCACAACCAACAAGCUUUGAUUGAGGAUUCACAGUUUCUAUCAACGAAUCAUCCGCCAUCAUCACAAAGCUGAAAUGAGUUGGUGACUUGUAAGUAUCAGUGGCAUGAGCAAUACUUUUUGCUCCUACGUUUUUGUUGUUGUCACUUUUGUGGAAUCAAGCCCUGUAGCCCAAGUCUCUCUGAUUGUAUUGCUGCUGCCGCCAUCGGGCUAAUGAUGAGCAGUAAAACAAUUGCUUAAAACAUUACAGUAGCUUUAAAACAUGGCAUGAAAUUACAAGAACGAGAAUAGAUGAUGCACUUUUGAAGGUUGAAACGAAUGAUGAUUCGAGAUACAUUUCAAAUGUUUUCAAAGUGUUGUGAUCAAUGAAUAUCCAAGGGCUUCUUAACUACAAAGGGAAAAUGGGAAGAAAUUUUGACAUUUUGGUAUAUUGAGCUGGCCAGCAAAUGUGUAUGAGGGACUUCACUUGUACACAUAAAGAGGGAAGAUUAAUUACUCCUAGUUAUUUAUUAAGAAAAAAAUGGCUUGCUUAAAAUAUAGAGUGUGGUUAAUUUCAUUCAAGGACUUGGCUAAAAAGAAAAAAGAAAAAGAAAUCUAAUAAUAAACUAAACCAAAAAUAACGCUAAAAACAAUAAACUUAAUUAAAUUUACAUUGAAAUUACCUUCAUAAUGCAACAAGAUAUUAAAAUCAAUAGUUAAUGCAAACAAAUGAAGCAUAGUUUAUUUAAUACUUAUUUAUGGAAUUUUUCAAUUCUAUUAAAGCCACUGCAGUUCGUUUUUCAAUAUUCACUCAGAUAAAUAGAGGCUCAUGCCUUUCUGAUUCUUACACAUCUUUUUGAAUUCUAAUUAAGUUGUUUUCAAUUCUCUUAAGAAAUUAAAAAAUGCCGAAAAGUCUUACUUUCAUCAUUUUAGCUUUGCUUGUAGUGGCAAACACUAAAAACAUGCUUAUUUCAGCUAGUUGAACUGGCCAAGGAUCUAACCCAAGGGCGUUAUUUUCUAUUAAUCCUGUAGCAUCACCUGAGAUUGUUGAUUGCUCAGGGCUCAGAAGUGAAGAGUGUUUUAUUGAGAAGUUUAAGAAAGCUCUUGAAGACUAUUGGUACCCCUGCCCUGAGGGGGGAUGCAAAUGAUAUUGUUAAUAAGUUAUUUCUUUUAUCUUGUUGGAGUGCUUUUGCAAUAACGAUAAAUUAUAAUGAAAUUGAAUCCUUGUUUUUAAUAAAAGAAGAAAUUAAUCCAUUAUGCAUACGUAAUAUUAUGUCACAUGUUUUUUGUGUGUGUAUCUCCUACUGCUUUGUUAUAGAUGCAUCAUUGAAUCAAUCUUCGAGAAAGCAGUUUGUUUAAAUAAUAGCAUUUAUCAACCAAUCAACAUUACAAUGUUAGUACCAUUUGUAAUAUUUAAAUUUUAAGUCUAUCUAGUUUUGGGGUGAGAUUAUUGACUCCUAAGAAAAAAAUAAAAUAAACCCUCAUUUUAUCGAAAUCCUAUGUUACUAAGCUGUCCGAUUUAAUUUAAUGUGUAACUUUAAUUUAUGCCCUGAAAAUCUUCAAUCUUACCUUCAUUUAUUGCUAAGAAUAUGAUUAAAAAGUUCAUCAAUGUACCCCCCAUUUAUGCUCAUCUUUUGAAGAAAAAAUAGGGUAGAUUGAGUUUUUCAUGCUUUUUGAGGGUAGAUUAAAGAUUGUUAUUGGGAGGGGACACAUUGAAAUUUAAAUAAUUGUUUUUAAAUGCAACGAUGUAUUCUUUUAUUUUAUUUGGGAUAGUUAGUUUGACUUUAAUUUAACAUAUAUUUUUGUAAUUGAAAUACAUAUACUUCUUUAUUUUUGUAAUUUAACUAAGUAAUAUAAUAUUUAUAUUUAAUAGAUCACUUAAAAAAUGUUAACGCAUUAAUAUGUUAAUUUUUCGUGGCUUGCAAGAUAAGAUUUUUUUUAUAAGAAAAUAUUGCAAGCAACAAUAAGAAUUAAGAUUAAUAAAAUAAUGAUGCAAACUAUGAACAUGUUAAUAAGUUGGUACAAGGAAUCUUAAUCAAGGAUGGUUUCAGCUUUCCUUGUUUUUUCUUUCUUCGGUAAUGCUCUUGAGAUGUUAUGAAUUAAACAAAUACAAGUUCCCAAUUAUGCAAUCUUAUCAUAUAGGGAGCAUCAUAAACAGAGGAAACAAAAUUUUCAAAUUGAGCGACCAAAAAGACUUGAAACAAUGACUUAUGUCUUUCAAAGAAGUUAGGGAUUCAACACAACUGUGUGGACUGAGUAGAGAAGUAGUAGCAAAUAGAAAACUGAACAUAAAAGGCACGAAACAAAAUACAGUUAAACGGUUGUUGCAAGUGAAUAAAAGUUACAGAUUUUAUUUCGAAAUUAAAUUCUAAAAAUAAAUUCAAGAGUUAGUGUUUCAUUUUCUAGAUGAAAAUGCCCUUCACCAAUUUCAUUUGAAAAAAACACCAAAAUCCAAGUAGUUUUUUGGCUCUCCUCUCUCAAAUAAAAUCUUUCUAUCCUAGACUUCACGUGAUGGAGUUCCAACACUAGUUUGAAGUUCACCAGAGUAGUGAGGUUAUGCUGCCUAGACCCUUUGACUUUGUAAUAUCUUAAGGGACAAUUGCUAAUAUAACCUAAGUGCUACUGAGAAAAUGACAAAUCCUUUUGAAGCACAUUGAAACUGCGCAUGCCUUAGUUUAAUUUAUGUUCUUCUCUUUCUUAUUGAUUUAUACUAGAGAAAUUAUCUCUACACCAACUCUGUUUUAUUAUAUGUACAUCCAUCCACCACAAAAUUUUAACAUGUUCUUUGCACCACCAUCAUUUCUAAACUUGUAUUAAUCGACUAAUUUGACAGUAAUAAUUUAAAUAAAAUGACCAUUUUUACCUUUAAGUGAUCUAAAAGAUCAUUUUAUCCCAUGAAAUUUUUAAAUAAAAAACUAUGAUUACCAUUUAAUUAAUUGAUAAAAUAUUAUUGAAAAAAUCAAUUUGUGAGUACUAUUUAAUUAAUUGAUAAAAUAUUAUCAAUUUUUUUCAAUUCUUUUAACCUAAAAAAUGUGUAAUUCUCAUCUCAAAUAUUUUCCUUUUUUUAUCAAUCGUACAGUCACAAUUAUCAAACAUUUGUCAUUGUUUGAAUUAAUCACCAAAAUAACAAUAGUUUGAACCAAUUUUGAAUAAUAAAAAAUUAUAAAUUACAAAAUAUAUCGAGCAACAUUGUAAUUAUAAAAAUUAACAUCUUAGAUUUUUAGAUUUUGUUUUUCAAAAUCAGAAGUAUUCUUGUGAUUAUAAUUUUUUAUUUUCAAAAAUUUUGUAGGAUAAAAUAGUUUUCAUUUUAUUUAAGGAUAAAAUGGUCAUUUUAUUUAAAUUCUAAGUGUCAAAGUAGUUGAUUGAAAGAACUUUAGAAACAAAGUGGUGAAAGAACAAGUUAAAAAAUUUUUGUAGUUAGAUAUAUGUAUGACAAAAUCGUAGUGGUGCAGAGAUAAUUUCCCUUCAUACUAUUGUAAUGUAUUAACGUUAUUAAAAAAUUUUGUUACAAUAAACUCAUGACAAGUGUGUAGCUAGCUUACUAGUAAACUUAGGCACUCUUACAAAGAUUCUAAAGCAAAAGUAAUGCCUGCAAAAUCUAGAUUUUAAGUACGGUCAUUUGUGACACUUUUAGUAUUUUCUAAGAACUCAACUGGUAUAUUUUUUCAUACACUAUGGAUAUUUUUUCAUACAAUAUGGAUUAUUUUAUGUCACUUAUUAGUAAUAAUUUUUAACAUAUAUUUCCAAACUUUAGCAUUAUAUAGCUUGAAGUUCAUAGGACUUUGGAAUCAGAUCAUUUACAACAAUCUUAACAAGGUGAUAAUUGAUACUGAGAGCAUAUAUAAAUUUUAAGUAAACCGAUAUGAAGGCGCCUUCAACUUAACUGGGAUCUUCACAUUUAAGGCACUACAGCAAUGGCCAUUGCCCUCAUUGCUUAUGUUCCUUAACUUCAUAUAGAUUUUUACAUUUUUCCAUCCCCUUUUUGGAGCACAAGUAGAUUGUCGAUCAAUGCCAAACGCAUAACAAUGUGGUCAGAUGCCUAGAUUAUGGAAAAAUAAUGACAUUUAAAGUGAUACAUCAGACUGCUGAUGUAUUAACAUUAUGUUGAAAUCCAAUAUUUGGCUACCAACAAGCACAUAUUACAUAAAAACAAUUAAACAAGCAAACAAACAUAAAAUGAAAAAAUUAAAUAAAACGACAGAGCACAUGUUUUGGAAAAGUUUAUUCCUCAAUCCACCACUAAUUAAAUAGAAGUAAGUCACUAUCAUUCUAAGUAAACAUACAUAACCAAUCACCAACUUAGGAAUAAUUUUUCAAUUUGGGAAUCUUGAAUUUUUCAUAAAAAAAUCAGUUUACAAUAUUAUAAGUACGUGAAAAAGAAAGUUUAUCUUGUAUGAGUGCUUUUUGCAUUACCGAUCAAUUGUAGUGAAAUCGAAACUAUGUUUUAAUAAAAGAAGAAAUUAAUCCAUUUUGAGCACAUAAUGUAAUGUCAUAUGUUUUUUGUGUGUGUAUCUCCUGUUGAUUUGUUGUAUACAUAUCGUUGAAUCAAUCUUCGAGAAAGCAGUUUGUUUAAAUAUUAAUAAUGGUCAGGCAAUCACAAUAACUAUAUUAGUAAUGUUGGUAUUAUUGAAAUUUUAAGUCUAUCCACUCUUAGCGUUGGUUAUUGCAUCCUAAGGAAAAAUAAAAUAAAAUAAACCAUCAUUUUAUCAAUAUCUUCUACUUAACUGUCUGAUUUAAUUUCAUGUAAAACUUUAAUCUGCCCCCGGGAAUCUUCAACUCACCUUCAUUUAUUGCUAGGAAUACAAUUAAAAAGUUCAUCAAUGUACCGCCAUUCAUGCUUAUCUUCUGAACAAAAUUAUGAUGGAUUGAGAUUUUCUUGCUUUUGGAAAGUAAAUUGAAGAUUGUUAUUGGGAGGGGAUGAAUUAAAGUUAUCCCAAGUUAGUAUAAGAAAAAUUUUCAUAUAUUUGUGACAUGUAUUUGUCUCAUCUACUAAACAUACAACCGUCUUUCAUACAUUAUGGAUUGUUUUAUGUCACUUACGAAUAAUAAUUAUGUAGUAUAUACUUCCAAACCUUACAAUUAUAUAGCUUAAAGUCCAUAGGGCUCUGGAAUCAAAUCACUUACAAUAAUUUGUGCAAGGUGAUAAUGAUACGGAGAGCAUAUAAAAAUAAAGACAAGUCAACCGAAAUGAAGGUUCCUUCACCUUAACUGGGGUCUUCACUUUUUAAGGACUACAGGGUGGCCACUGGCCUCGUUGCUUUUAUGUACCAAAACUUCAUACGGAUUCUUACAUUUGUUUCGCUUUUUAGAGCACCAGUAGAAUGUCGAUUAAUGCCAAAUGCAUAGGAAUGUGGUCAGAUACCUGCAUUAUGGAAAAAUAAUGAAGUUUAAAAUAAUACAUUAGAUUGUUGAAGCAUUAACAUUAUAUUGAAAUCAAAUAUUUGGCUAACAACAAGCACAUAUUAUGUAAAAAUGAUAAAAUGGUCAAACUAACAUAAAAUUGAAUACUAAAACUAAACGAUAGAGCAUAUGUUUUGAAAAAGUUUAUUCUUCAAUCCACCACCAAUUGAACAGAAGCAAGCCACUGUCAUUCUAUGUAAACAAACAUAACAAAACCACCAACUUAGGAAUAGUUUUCUAAUCUAGAAAAAUUGAACUUUUCAUUAUAAAAAAAAACAGUUUACAAUAUUAUAAGUACGUGAAAAAGAAAGUUUAUAACAUUGUAAAUUAGAUCACGAACAAGAAUGUGAUUCCACCUACAUGUUUUAGUGAACACCUAUAACAUUGCAUCCAACAAUGGCGUCGUCAGAUUUAAAAUCUACUCGAUGUGUCUAAGCAAUUGCAUAUUCGCCAUCCAACAGGAACACGCCAUUGUCGCCGAUAAUGGGCAUCUUACGGAUAGGAACAGUCGACCUGUUGUUGCCAAGGAGACUGAUACAGCUGCCAUUAUUAGGACCAUCAACGAACACAAAGCUCAUGGACAUAAUGAUACCUAGUUAAUGCUAACAAGCCGACCUGUAAAGUCCUUGAGCACGACCAACAAGCUUUGAUUGAGGAUUCGUAGUUUCUAUCCAUGAAUCAUCCGCCAUCAUCACAAUGCCAAAAUGAGUUGGUAACUUGUAAGUAUUAGUGGGUUGAGCAAUCAUUUUCACCCCUACGUUUUUGUUGUUGUCACUUUUGCGGAAUCAAGCCCUGUAGCACAAGUCUCUCUAAUUGUAUUGCUGCUGCCGCUACUAGGCUAAUGAUGAGCAGUAAAACAACUGCUUAAAACAUUGCAGUAGCUUUAAAACAAGGCAUGAAGUCAAAAGUAAGAGAAUAAAUGAUGCACUUUUGAAGGUAGAAAAGAAUGAUGAUUCGAGAUUCAUUUCAAAUGUUUUCGAAGUUUUGUGAUCAACAAAUAUCCAAGGGCUGCUUAACUACAUGGGGGAAGUGGGAAGAAAGUUUUACAUUUUCUUAUAUUCAGCUAGUGAGCAAAUGUGCAUGAGGGGCUUAACUUGUACACAUAAAGAGGGAAGACUAAUUACUCCUGGUUUUUUAUUAAGAAAAAAGAAUGGUCUGCUUAAAAUAUAGAAUGUGGUUAAUUUCAUUCAAGGACAUGGCUAAAAAAAAAAAAAGAAAUCUAAUAAAACACUAAACCUAAAAUAAUGCUAAAAACAAUGAAUUUAAUUAAAUGUACAUUAAAAUUACCUUCAUAAUGCAACAAGAUAUUAAAAUCAAUAGUUAAUGCAAACAAAUGAAGUGUAAUUUAUUUAAUAUUAUUUAUGGAAUCUUUCAAUUCCAUUAAAGCCAUUGCAGCUCGUUUUUCAAUAUUCACUCAGAUAAAUAGAGGCUCAUGCCUUUUUUAUUCUUACAUAUCUCUUUCAAUUCUCUUAAGAAAUCAAAAAAUGUCUAAGAGUCUUACUUUCAUCAUUUUGGCUUUGCUUGUAGUGGCAAACACUAAAAACAUGCUUAUUUCAGCCAAUAGUACUGGCCAAGGAUCUAACUCAGAUGCUUCAUUUUCUACUAAUCCCGCAGCAUCACCUGACAUUGUUGAUUGCUCAAGGCUCAGAAGUGAAGAGUGUUUGAUCGAGAGGUUUAAGAAAAUUCUUGAAGACUAUCACUACCCUUGCCCUGAGGGGGGAUGCCACUGAUUUUGCUAAACAAUUAUUUCUUUUAUCUUGUAAGAGUGCUUUAUGCAAUACCGAUCAAUUAUAGUGAAAUCGAGACUGUGUUUUAAUAAAAGAAGAAAUUAAUCCAUUUUGUGCAUAUAAUGUCAUGUCAUAUGUUUUUUGUGGUUGUAUCUUCUGCUAAUUUGUUGCAUACAUAUCGAUGAAUCAAUUUUUGAGGAAGCC
rnacentral:lncRNA from 1 species